rnacentral:rRNA from 1 species
AGGUAGUAUUAUUAAACCUAUUUAUUUUGGCGGCAUUCAAUCUUAUUAGAGGAAUUUGUCUAUUAAUCGAUAACCCACGUUAAUUUUUACUUAUAAAUAAAAUUUAUAUACCGCCAUCUAAAGAACUAAUUUUAUAAUAAUAUUCUAAAUUAUAAUUAAAAAGAUAGGUCAAGGUGUAAUCUAUAUUUAAGAUAAGAUGAAUUACUAUAAAUAGUAUUUAAGGAUAAAAAUUUUAAAAAAUUUUUUAAAAAAGGAUUUAAUAGUAAUAUAAUAAUAAUAAUAUUUUAUGAAUAAAAUAAUAAAUGUGC